rnacentral:rRNA from 1 species
GCAGUAGCCGCGGUAAUACGAAGGGGGCUAGCGUUGUUCGGAUUUACUGGGCGUAAAGCGCACGUAGGCGGACUUUUAAGUCAGGGGUGAAAUCCCGGGGCUCAACCCCGGAACUGCCUUUGAUACUGGAAGUCUUGAGUAUGGUAGAGGUGAGUGGAAUUCCGAGUGUAGAGGUGAAAUUCGUAGAUAUUCGGAGGAACACCAGUGGCGAAGGCGGCUCACUGGACCAUUACUGACGCUGAGGUGCGAAAGCGUGGGGAGCAAACAGGAUUAGAUACCCCGGUAGUCCCUGUCUCUUAUAC